rnacentral:rRNA from 1 species
GACGAACGCUGGCGGCGGGCUUAACACAUGCAAGUCGAACGAAGUGGCGAACGGGUGAGUAACGCGUAAUAAACCUGCCCUUCAGAGGGGGACAACAGUUGGAAACGACUGCUAAUACCGCAUACUGAAGGAGGGGAUUGCGUCUGAUGUGCUAGUUGGAGGGGUAACGGCCCACCAAGGCGAUGAGCAGUAGCCGGUCUGGGAGGAUGAACGGCCAAAAUGGGACUGGGACACGGCCCAGACUCCUACGGGGGGCAGCAGUUGGGAAUCUUCCGAAAUGGACGAAAGUCUGACGGAGCAACGCCGCGUGAGUGGUGACGGCCUUCGGGUUGUAAAGCUCUGUUAAUCGGGACGCGGUACCGGAAUAGAAAGCCACGGCUAACUACGUGCCAGCAGCCGCGGUAAUAC